AUUGAACGCUGGCGGCAGGCCUAACACAUGCAAGUCGAGCGAGCGGCGGACGGGUGAGUAAUGUCUGGGAAACUGCCUGAUGGAGGGGGAUAACUACUGGAAACGGUAGCUAAUACCGCGUACCAUAGGAUGAGCCCAAGGGGGAUUAGGUAGUUGGUGGGGUAAAGGCCUACCAAGCUGACGAUCCCUAGCUGGUCUGAGAGGAUGACCAGCCACACUGGAACGGAGACACGGUCCAGACUCCUACGGGAGGCAGCAGUGGGGAAUAUUGCACAAUGGGCGCAAGCCUGAUGCAGCCAUGCCGCGUGUGUGAAGAAGGCCUGCGGGUUGUAAAGCACUUUCAGCGGAGAGGCGUUACCCGCAGAAGAAGCACCGGCUAACUCCGUGCCAGCAGCCGCGGUAAUAC
rnacentral:rRNA from 1 species